rnacentral:sRNA from 1 species
CGAUGCUGCUUUCUUGGACGUUUCCUCCCUAAACUCGGGCGGCACCCACGGGCGCCGCCCUUUUUUUGCCUGCG